AUGGUUGCACACGCCAGCAUCUACUGCAACGCCGCCACCACCACGACGACGGCGAGGAGCGGGCUGGCAUACUCCGCCGUGGCCCCUAAGUCGUCGCCGAGGAAUACCAAGAGAAGGAGCGGCAGGAAGGCGACGAGGACAACGGCCGGGCGGCGGCGCUGCGUGGAGGCGAUCAGGAGGAAGAUGGAAGCGCUGAGGCGGCUCGUCCCUAGCGGCGGCGAUCACCGCAGCAACGACGAGGAGCUCCUGUUCCGCGCCGCCGACUACAUCGUGCGGCUGCAGGUGCAGGUGAAGGCGAUGCAGCUCAUGGUCGACGUGCUGGAGCACACCAAAGACUCUUGA
rnacentral:rRNA from 1 species